AGUUAGUGAGCUAAUGUCAUACACAUGUAAUUGUUUUAGGUGUAUGGGAAAUAAUUAAAUGUUUGUUUACAUUGUACAGAUGAACGUUCAGCCCACUCACUGUUGACACCAGUGACACAGUAUUGACCAGAUCUCCUGGAAGUGCCCCCUGACGCAGACCCAGUUGUUGGGUAGCCACCCAUGCACGUUGACACAGCCAGCACCGAGCACCCAGGGGGAUGGAACCAGGAAUGGAGGAUGGUCCAAUAGGGUAGCAUCAUGAAGGCGGUUUACCCCUGAAACUUUUUACAAAGGACCACCAUCGUCAGAGAAGUUCCUUUAACCCUUAUCUCCCAUAGCGGCCGUGAACGCCCGGCCACCUCUCUCCCAUAACGCCCGCCGACACCCGGAGUAUUUUCAUAGCUGAACAGAAGUCAUCAUGCAGUUUCUACAGCUUUCACUUUAGAUCACUAUUACAGACUCUAGGGGUGUGCAAAAUAAUCGUCAUAUCGAUGCAUCGCGAUACUUACUCUCACGAUACAAUGCAUCGAUUCAUGACAAGGUAUCGUGAUACUUAUUUUCUCAAUAUACUGCACGGAUUCAUGACAAUUGAUUAUUUGAUAACAAUAAAAUUCGAUUUGCCACGGGUUAUUUUGUUCAGUAGAGAACAGGUAAUAUUUCUGUUGUGACGUAAGCUCUCUCCCAGAUGAUAGAAUGCUUAAAUAGAAUGAACUGACUUAAGAAAGCUACACAGCAACUGACAAAUAAGCUGUAUUUUACACAUUUACUGAAGUAAAUAUCGCAAUGCAUCACAGUAGUACAUGAAUCGCAAUGCAUCGUGAUAGAAUCGCAUCGUGGCAUGUGUAUCGUGAUGCGCAUCGAAUCGUGAACCCUUU